rnacentral:rRNA from 1 species
AACGAACGCUGGCGGCAGGCUUAACACAUGCAAGUCGAACGCCCCGCAAGGGGAGUGGCAGACGGGUGAGUAACGCGUGGGAACAUACCCUUUUCUACGGCAUAGCCCUGGGAAACUGGAAUUAAUACCGUAUACGCCCUACGGGGAAAGAUUUAUCGGGGUAGGAUUGGCCCGCGUUGGAUUAGCUAGUUGGGGGGGUAAAGGCCUACCAAGGCGACGAUCCAUAGCUGGUCUGAGAGGAUGAUCCGCCACAUUGGGACUGAGACACGGCCCAAACUCCUGCGGGAGGCAGCAGUGGGGAAUAUUGGACAAUGGGCGCAAUCCUGAUCCAGCCAUGCCGCGUGAGUGAUGAAGGCCUUAGGGUUGUAAAGCUCUUUCACCGAUGAAGAUAAUGACGGUAGUCGGAGAAGAAGCCCCGGCUAACUUCGUG